CUAACACACACCAGUGUAUGUCAAACAUAAGUACAGAAUUUUAUUUAAAUUUUGAACUGCAACUUCGCGGUGGUAGAGCUGCAUCUAUCUCUCGCCUACGCUUGUGGGGUUAGACAGUUCUGGAAUGUGCGCAGAGGAGUGGAGUCACAUGGUGAUUAUGAGCCAUUCCUUACAUCCCUUUAAACUUUGGAGCCUAAGAAGUCAAUAGUUUGGUUAUACGUCUGAGUUUGGUUGUACGGAGUUUGGAAGACAAGAAGAGGUCUCCCUAUACAGUCCCCACUUUGAAAUUCCCGUUUGUAGUCUCCAGACCUCAAAAGUCAGUGGUCUCACAGAAGAGCCCAGGAGUCAUUGGUUUCCCGCUUUUGGCCCAAGCUCCCGGCGUAACGAAUGCUAACGCAGAACCCUCCGCCGACAGCCGCUGCGUCCCGUCCCCCGCUGGUCUAGUCGCCCGCCGCCAACCCCGGGGGCGGGCGCUGCGCCAGGGCUUCGGGACCCAGUGCCAGACCCAGAGCGCCGCCGGGCACCCGAGGGUGACAGCAGGAGAGAAGGUGGUGUUGUUGACAGAAACAUUGUAAGCAGAGAAGGUGAAUCAAUCCAUG
rnacentral:lncRNA from 1 species